GAUGAACGCUAGCGGCAGGCUUAACACAUGCAAGUCGAGGGGUAUAGUUCUUCGGAACUAGAGACCGGCGCACGGGCGCGUAACGCGUAUGCAAUCUACCUUUUACAGGGGGAUAGCCAGAGAAAUUUGGAUUAAUACCCCAUAGUAUGUUAGAGUGGCAUCAUUUUAACAUUAAAGUUCCAACGGUAAAAGAUGAGCAUGCGUCCCAUUAGCUAGAUGGUAAGGUAACGGCUUACCAUGGCGAUGAUGGGUAGGGGUCCUGAGAGGGAGAUCCCCCACACUGGUACUGAGACACGGACCAGACUCCUACGGGAGGCAGCAGUGAGGAAUAUUGGACAAUGGGCGCAAGCCUGAUCCAGCCAUGCCGCGUGCAGGAAGACGGUCCUAUGGAUUGUAAACUGCUUUUGUACAGGAAGAAACACUCCCUCGUGAGGGAGCUUGACGGUACUGUAAGAAUAAGGAUCGGCUAACUCCGUGCCAGCCGCCGCCGUAAGAC
rnacentral:rRNA from 1 species